UACGUAGGGUGCGAGCGUUAAUCGGAAUUACUGGGCGUAAAGCGUGCGCAGGCGGUUUUGUAAGACAGGUGUGAAAUCCCCGGGCUUAACCUGGGAACUGCGCUUGUGACUGCAAGACUCGAGUGUGGCAGAGGGGGGUGGAAUUCCACGUGUAGCAGUGAAAUGCGUAGAGAUGUGGAGGAACACCGAUGGCGAAGGCAGCCCCCUGGGUCAACACUGACGCUCAUGCACGAAAGCGUGGGGAGCAAACAGG
rnacentral:rRNA from 1 species